rnacentral:lncRNA from 1 species
UUUUUCAUUUAGAUUCCCUAAAUUGAGUUGAAUUUUUGGAGCAGCGUGUGAUGCGGGUGGAUCAAAGAGGAGGGGGGCUAAAAAACCCACAAAAUUUCUGUCUUUUUUCCUCUAAUUCUUAAUUUUUUUUUCUAGAUUGUCUAAAUUUCGUUAUAUUUUUUUAAAUGAAGAGUAGUGUGGGUGGAUCAAAAAGAAGGAGGAAAAAGGAGAAGAAAGGAUGUGCAAAAUGUGGAGGUUGAUCGGGGAUGGAAAGAAAAGGGCUUUUGUGUUGAAGCCUAAAGUAAUAGUGAAUAAGUAUGUGGGGAAGAACUUUGAAAGAAAUGGGAUGUUUUUUUAAAAAAAAAAUUGUGUUUUAUGAUUUAAGGUUGCAUAUGAUUGAUAUGAUAAUGGAUGUCAUGAAGAUUUAGAUACCAGUGAAUCGAAAGAGGUUAAGGAGAAAUGAAGGUGUGUAUAUGAUGUGUAUAAAAACUGUAUAUUUAUUAUAUAUAAUAUGUAUAUGUAUAAAUUUAAAUAACAACUGUUUAGAAUGUGCAUAGAAACUGUAUAAAUAUUGUAUAGAAUAUGUAUCUGAAUAACUAUUGCAACUAAUGUUAGGAUGGG